rnacentral:snoRNA from 14 species
UGGCUGUAGCUAUAUUAAAUCGAAGAAUCUUACUGGCCGGUUAUUGUGACUCUGUCGAUAAAUCUGCUUACCGAGUUUCUCACAUUU